GACGAACGCUGGCGGCGUGCUUAACACAUGCAAGUCGAGCGGUAAGGCCCUUUCGGGGGUACACGAGCGGCGAACGGGUGAGUAACACGUGGGUGACCUGCCCUCAGCUCUGGGAUAAGCCUGGGAAACUGGGUCUAAUACUGGAUAUGACUCCACGGUGCAUGUCGUGGGGUGGAAAGCCUUGUGCGGCUGAGGAUGGGCCCGCGGCCUAUCAGCUUGUUGGUGGGGUGANGGCCUACCAAGGCGACGACGGGUAGCCGGCCUGAGAGGGCGACCGGCCACACUGGGACUGAGACACGGCCCAGACUCCUACGGGAGGCAGCAGUGGGGAAUCUUGCGCAAGUGGGCGAAAGCCUGACGCAGCGACGCCGCGUGAGGGAUGACGGCCUGG
rnacentral:rRNA from 1 species